GUAACAAGGUUUCCGUAGGUGAACCUGCGGAAGGAUCAUUAUU
rnacentral:rRNA from 1 species